rnacentral:rRNA from 1 species
AGAGUUUGAUCAUGGCUCAGAAUCAACGCUGGCGGCGUGCCUAACACAUGCAAGUCGAACGCGAAAGUCCCGCAAGGGAUGAGUAGAGUGGCAAACGGGUGAGUAACACGUGGGUGACCUGCCUUCGAGCGGGGGAUAACGUCCCGAAAGGGACGCUAAUACCGCAUAACAUCCUGCCUUUGAAGAGGUGGAGAUCAAAGCCGGGGACCGCAAGGCCUGGCACUUGAAGAGGGGCCCGCGUCUGAUUAGCUAGUUGGUGAGGUAAUGGCUCACCAAGGCAACGAUCAGUAUCCGGCCUGAGAGGGCGGACGGACACACUGGGACUGAGACACGGCCCAGACUCCUACGGGAGGCAGCAGUGGGGAAUUGUUCGCAAUGGGCGCAAGCCUGACGACGCAACGCCGCGUGGAGGAUGAAGACCUUCGGGUCGUAAACUCCUUUCGAUCGAGACGAACGGCUUCCGGGUGAACAAUCCGGGAGAGUGACGGUACCGAGAGAAGAAGCCCCGGCUAACUCCGUGCCAGCAGCCGCGGUAAUACGGGGGGGGCAAGCGUUGUUCGGAAUUACUGGGCGUAAAGGGCUCGUANGCGGCCAACUAAGUCAGACGUGAAAUCCCCAGCGUACCGGGGAACUGCGUCUGAUACUGGAUGGCUUGAGAUUGGGAGAGGGAUGCGGAAUUCCAGGUGUAGCGGUGAAAUGCGUAGAUAUCUGGAGGAACACCGGUGGUGNAAGGCGGCAUCCUGGACCAACACUGACGCUGA